rnacentral:tRNA from 1 species
GGCGGUUUGGCCGAGUGGUCUAAGGCGAUUGAGUACGUUCCACUACUGUAACAGCCACCAGAACCUUUACUAACCAAUUCAACAGCUAGAAAUCAAUUCUCUUCGGAGGCGCAUGUUCGAAUCAUGCAGCCGUCG